rfam:Triticum urartu cultivar G1812 contig168185, whole genome shotgun sequence.
UAAGUACUCCCUCCGCCCGAAAAUACUUGUCAUCAAAAUGAAUAAAAAAUGAUGAAUCUAGAACUAAAAUACAUCUAGAUACAUCCCUUUUAAUUCAUUUUGGUGACAAGUAUUUUCGGACGGAGGGAGUAUGUU